rnacentral:rRNA from 1 species
CAUCCUCCAAGGCUAAAUACUCCUGACUGACCGAUAGUGAACCAGUACCGUGAGGGAAAGGCGAAAAGAACCCCGGCGAGGGGAGUGAAAAAGAACCUGAAACCGUGUACGUACAAGCAGUGGGAGCACAGGUUUACCUGUGUGACUGCGUACCUUUUGUAUAAUGGGUCAGCGACUUAUAUUCUGUAGCAAGGUUAACCGAAUAGGGGAGCCGGAGGGAAACCGAGUCUUAAUUGGGCGUUAAGUUGCAGGGUAUAGACCCGAAACCCGGUGAUCUAGCCAUGGGCAGGUUGAAGGUUGGGUAACACUAACUGGAGGACCGAACCGACUAAUGUUGAAAAAUUAGCGGAUGACCUGUGGCUGGGGGUGAAAGGCCAAUCAAACCGGGAGAUAGCUGGUUCUCCCCGAAAGCUAUUUAGGUAGCGCCUCG